GUGCACCAGGCGAGAAUCUUCGGCAAUGGACGCAAGUCUGACCGAGCGACGCCGCGUGCGGGAUGAAGGCUCUUGGGUUGUAAACCGCUGUCAGAGGGGAUGAAAUGCGAGAGGGCUAUCCCUCUCGUUUGACAGAGCCUCAGAGGAAGCACGGGCUAAGUACGUGCCAGCAGCCGCGGUAACACGUACUGUGCGAACGUUAUUCGGAAUCACUGGGCUUAAAGGGUGCGUAGGCGGUUUAGUAAGUAGGGUGUGAAAUGCCAGAGCUCAACUUUGGCACGGCGCUCUAAACUGCUAAACUUGAGUGAGAUAGGGGUGUACGGAACUUCCGGUGGAGCGGUGAAAUGCGUUGAUAUCGGAAGGAACACCGGUGGCGAAAGCGGUACACUGGGUCUUAACUGACGCUGAGGCACGAAAGCCAGGGUAGCGAACGGGAUUAGAUACCCCGGUAGU
rnacentral:rRNA from 1 species